GAUGAACGCUGGCGGCGUGCCUAAUACAUGCAAGUCGUGCGAACGGACGAGAAGCUUGCUUCUCUGAUGUUAGCGGCGUACGUGUGAGUAACACAUGGUUAACCUAACUAUAGGACUGGGAUAACUUCGUGAAACCGGAGCUAAUACCGUGUAAUAUUUUGAACCUCAUGGUUCAAAAGUGAAAGACGGUCUUGCUGUCACUGAUAGAUGGAUCCGCGCUGCAUUAGCUAGUUGGUAAGGUAACGGCUUACCAAGGCAACGAUGCAUAGCCGACCUGAGAGGGUGAUCGGCCACACUGGAACUGAGACACGGUACAGACUCCUACGGGAGGCAGCAGUAGGGAAUCUUCCGCAAUGGGCGAAAGACUGAAGGAGCAACGCCGCGUGAGUGAUGAAGGUCUUCGGAUCGUAAAACUCUGUUAUUAGGGAAGACCAUAUGUGUAAGUAACUGUGCACAUCUUGACGGUACCUAAUCAGAAAGCCACGGCUAACUACGUG
rnacentral:rRNA from 1 species